rnacentral:misc_RNA from 1 species
GCUGAAACUCCAAACUCUGCUAUGACACAAUACGAGCUUUUGAGCAAUUGCAAACUAAUUUGUCAUUAAGAGAACUUGAAUCUGAAUAGACCUUCAAUCUGCAACUGCAAACUCCAAUCUGAGAUUAGAAAUCCCACGUUUGCAUAAAAUAAAUAAAUAAAUAAAACCUUUUCUCACCAAUAAAUAAAUAAAUUUCUUGAGCGAGGAGGGAGAUUUUCUACAAUCUCCCUUGUCUUUUCCUCAUUCUUUCCCAGAAAAGAAACAAACAAAAUAAAUAAAUAAAAUUUAGUCCAAAAUUCUAUCAUUUCCCAUUACACCAAACACAAGAAAAAAUGCAUUUCAAAACAGUGAGAGAUGAAAAUACGCUAUCAAACACACAGGAUCCACAGUUUUUCCUUCAAUCAGCACACACAAUCGUAAGGACUAAAACAAAGAAAUAAAGGAAUCAAUCUACCCAGUAGAGACAUACCCGGACAAGAAAUAAAAAAUGAGA